AUGCAGUCCCCCAUGUAUGACAUCUUUGAGCCUUCACUGAUGAAUGUUAAGAUGAAAGCACAAGAGACUAGCACCCUUUCUCAACCUAAGAAGCUUGCAUCUAGGAUUCAGACUAGCCCACAAUCUCAAAGAAAUUCCGAGAAUAAGAGUAAACCCAUGUCACAAAGCAAUCCCUUUCAUAAAAGAGAGACCAUCAAGAGUUCAGCACUACCAGACUACGGCCUCCACUCAGACAGGUCUAGAGGCGAAUUCGCAGUUUCAGCAGCAAUAAGUCCAGCAGACUCAGCUUCAACCGCAACAACUUCAAAGAGCCUCAGGCACGAGAGCAGGUUCAACCAGUGCCGCUACAGCAUUCUCAGGUGA